UGGGGAAUAUUGCACAAUGGGCGCAAGCCUGAUGCAGCCAUGCCGCGUGUAUGAAGAAGGCCUUCGGGUUGUAAAGUACUUUCAGCGGGGAGGAAGGGAGUAAAGUUAAUACCUUUGCUCAUUGACGUUACCCGCAGAAGAAGCACCGGCUAACUCCGUGCCAGCAGCCGCGGUAAUACGGAGGGUGCAAGCGUUAAUCGGAAUUACUGGGCGUAAAGCGCACGCAGGCGGUUUGUUAAGUCAGAUGUGAAAUCCUCGGGCUCAACCUGGGAACUGCAUCUGAUACUGGCAAGCUUGAGUCUCGUAGAGGGGGGUAGAACUCCAGGUGUAGCGGUGAAAUGCGUAGAGAUCUGGAGGAAUACCGGUGGCGAAGGCGGCCCCCUGGACGAAGACUGACGCUCAGGUGCGAAAGCGUGGGGAGCAAACAGG
rnacentral:rRNA from 1 species